AGAAGUCCAGGAAAAGCUUAGCUGUUUCCUCUGUUUAGGGUCUCACAAGACAGCAUUCAAGGCUGGCUGCAGCCUCAUCUGAGACUCAGAGGUCAUCUUCUAAGUUCAUGUGGAUGUUGGAAGAAUUUAUUUCCUUAUAUCUGUGGAUCUCGUGACAACUUGCUUUUUCAGGGCCAAUAGGAGAAAGAGAAUCCUUGCUGUCUGGAGUCUGUGAGCUUAGGGAAAGAAGAAUCUCUCUUUUAAAAGGCUACCUGAUUAGAGUAUGCCCAUCUAGGAUAAUCUCCUUUUGAUUAACUCAAAGUCAAGCUGAUUAGAAACCUUACUUUCACCUGUAAAAUCCUUUUAUAACCCAACGGAAUCACGGGAGAGCUAGCAAAACCUACUAGUUAGAAGCCAGAAGCAGGUUCUGCCCACACUGUGAGGAAGAAGGUUUCAAGAAAGCAUGGAUACUGGGAGGCAGUGAGCACUGGGAUCAUCUUAGGAUGCUGCUACCAGAGAGAGGUUCUUAGAAGAAGAAUAAAAGCUAACUGAGGUUAAUUCAAGAUAAGGAAGUGAAGGCUCAAAAGGGUCAGAAGCUUACUCGUGGUUAUCUCACGGCAGAACCAAGUCUCUAAUUAGGAUUGCCUGAAGUUAGGGCUUAUUCAUUUAAUGUCUAUGCCCUACAUCAUAUAUUUGAAAAACAACUGAAGACUGUUGUGAGGGUCAAUGGUAAGAAACCUGGACAGACAACAAAAGACCUGUUUUCUCUUCCAAAUUUGUCAUCCUAACUAUCUGGACUCAUUCAACCAGGCGAGGAUUCCAGUGAAACUUCUAGAGUGAGACAUUCACACUUCCCUCAUCACUGCAGCAAGAGGAUGGGCAAGACCUGGAGUGAGACCUGGGUGUGAGGCUGUUUUCCUGCUACCUGCAGAAGAGACCUCAGGAUUAGUUUAAUUGUGCACUUCCAUCUCUGACCCUUGGAUGCCUGGUCCUGAAAAUGAAAGAGACAAGCUAAAUGACUUAAAGGCAAAUGGAAUAUGAAUCAGAGGCAUCUUUCUCUUGAGAAUUUGGAAGGUUUCACUUGGCAACUUCAGGUGGAGAAGAAAGCUUGUUACUGACUAACAUAGAAAUCUUGGAAGCAGCAUCUUAAAGAUGACAGAGCCAUAAGGUAACAGGAUCCUGGGCCCUAUAUCACCACUUGGAAGAAAGCAGCACACAAAUCACUAAUGCACGUUUGGAUUUUCCUGAAUGAGAAGUGAGAACACAGCAAGAAAGCACCAGCCAAGAAUGAGGAAGUGGGCCCUCACUACAACACCAUUGUGCCAGCACCCUGAUCUUGGACUUCCCAGCCUCCAGAACUAUGGAGAAACCAAGAGUCAGAAAGAUGAAGAUAACUUCUCCAAGAUCACAAGUAGCAGACUCAGGGCCAGGAUGACACCUCAGUGGACUCACAUCUGAAUCAUCCCAGGAAGUCUAGAGGGAGGAAGUGAGAGGAUGUCCUAUUCACAGAAUGGCGGAUGCCACCACCCAGCGACAAGCCAAAGGCCCCUUCUCAAAACUCUGACAAGUAGGGGAAGCAAGCCAGCCUGGCUCCCAGCUAUACCCAACAUGUCUCUUUGAAACUCACUUCAGGACCUAGGAAAGAGCUCGAGGACCAGGCCACAGGCUGUCUGUCCUACCUGAUUGGAAGUUGAGGAAAAAAAAACUUAAAAAGAAAAUGCUAAGAAAUGCCAAAGCUGGAUAUGUCAAGGGAUUAGAUAAAGUAGAGAACCUUCAUGAGAAGUGUGCACACUUGUGAUACAAAGCUAAGUCACCAGGAACUACAAGGACUGAACCCAAAGUCUAAAUGUAUGUGAAAGAUGGCAUUGGAUUAAGAACACACAGGCCACGAGUGAACGAAACUCCCAGAGUUGACUCCCAGCUCCUCCGGUGAUUCCAUGACUCUGGGAACGACAGUGGUAACUCACAUAUGGAUUCAAAAUCUGGACUGGAACAUCUCCAUAUAUGUAAAACUAACUUUACAUAGACGCUUCAAUUAUAAACACAAGAGCUGAAUAUCGAAAGUGACUAACGCUGAAUGACCUAAACCUGAGUACUUAAAUAGUAAUUGAAGAGACUGUUUAUUAAUUUGUUUGGUUUCAAAUCUGAACUUUUUAAAAUUGGAAGUGUUGAAAGUAUUUGCCUAUACACUAUUUGGAAUAUUCUCAUUAAAGUGUGAAAUUCCAAUGC